rnacentral:tRNA from 1 species
AAUUGAGAAGCGAAUAUCGCAUUUAGUUUCGACCUAGACCUUGGUGAUAAUUAUCACCCUCAAUUA